rnacentral:lncRNA from 1 species
UUUUCCGUAUACAUAUAUACUUGCCGUUUUCCCAGAAAUUGAAAAUGCAUGAAAUUAUGAUUUAAAUGAAAAUGUAUAAAAGUAUAUGAGAUAUAUUAGUUGAAAUGCCAUGCAUAGAAGUAUGCGAAAAGUAUAUAGAAUUAUAUGAAAAACGUGAAUCGAAUUGCCAUGCAUGAAAGGAUAUGAAUUGAUAUAUGAUGCAUAUGUAUGAAUUGGUGCAGCGGACGCACAGGUGAGUAUCAGGUGAGUAUUUAAAUACUGUUAUGAUGAUGUUGAUGUAUAUUGAGCUCAAAUCCUGCACCAUGGUUUAGUGCUUAUAGUAUUCACCGCAUCGCACGCUCGCCUUGGAUCCAAGUAGAUGCUGGUCGCACAGUCCACGCGGAGUGGGUGCGACGGGCCAGUCGAAGAGUGUUAGUGAGAUUUCGACUGGUGGGUGACCUUAGAUUAUGUGCACAAAUGAUUGAUGAGAAAGCACUAGAGCGUAACUUGUGCGCAGAAGGCCGGACAGGUCACAGAGGUGACUCCGGCAGAGUGAGAGUGAUAGAUUUUGAGCUCUAGGUUCAACCGUGCAGGGCUAUUAGAGGGCCUCCGGUUGAUUACUUUCUUGCACCUGAUAUGAUUAUUGUUGAUGCAUCCAUACUUAACUGUUGAUUUUUAGACAUGGCAUGGCAUAACUGAUAUGAAAAAAUGUUGAAAAAGUGAAUUGAAGUUUUGAGAAUAUAUAUGUAUAUAUUUAUAUUUUACAUUUCUGGGAAAGUAUACAGGUUUUACGGAGAGGGGUUACAACGUUUUGAGAAAUGUUUGGAUUUGGAAAAGAAUUGUUUUACUGACCCACUCAAUUUUGGUUUUGCGCCCCUCCAGGUUCAGGAAUCACAAAGGUGUAGUGACUACGAGGAAUUCGACGGUGUUCUGACAGAUUGGACAAAAUUAGGACUCACCUUCGGGUGUAUCAACUUAUAAAUUGUAUCUUUAAAGCUUCCGUACUGUGCAAAUGGUUACGUCACUCUCCCGUGACGGCCAGCAUGCCCUCCUUCGGGACGGGGUGUGUCAGUUGGUAUCAGAGCAUGGUUGCAAUCUUGGACAUUUUGAGAAGUUCUAGUGAAUUCUGUCAGAACUACACCGCCUCGUAGCAAGCCACGUAGUUAGAGGAACUUAGUCUCCCUGAUUUAGCGGUUUAGGGGAAACUAUUACUAUGGUGAUUCAGUCUAUUGUCUAAAGGGACAUUUUAAGAUGGGUAAUGAGUUGAACUUGAAUCACUUAAGAGAAAUGAUGAACCUGAGGGAACGAAGUGACGGUUUAACCGUUUGGAAAAGAAGUUUCGGAUUAUGCAAGUCAAAGGAAAUUUCCUUCUGACAAGGGGUCGAGACGACUAUCUGGUUUUGGUUAUGAAUUUGUAUCCUGGUGGAAAUAGGAGUAUGAUUUGUUGUCACCGGAGGAACAAUCGAUUGAGAAUUGUUUAAGGACUUGUUUAAGGAAAAGUUUAUCCCUCCGGCAUUGAUCGAUGGUAGUAAACAAGAGUUUGCAAAUGUGAAUCAAGGAAGUUGACGACAAAUGAGUAUUAUAGAAAGUUUUCAGACUUGCCUCGUUCCAUCCAGAUAUUGUUGUUAAUUUGGUUGAGGUGUUAUGUUGUUUAUGCUGGAUAGUAAGAAAAAGCGGCGUUCUUUGAGUGACCACUAUCCAUUGUAUUUAUUACCAGGAAUAUACGAGAUGUUGUUGAGCCUUGAGGACUCUGAGAACAUGAUCAACGAGAGUAAAGAGGAAUAAGAAAAGAAUGGGAAUCAAAAGAAGACGAUAAAGUUAAUGAUUCGUCAUAUCAAGGAUAUAGAAAGAUUCAGAGCUUCGAAAGAAGUGAAGCUAGAGUUAAUUCUUCCAGCUGAGGUUUUAAUGUCACUGGUCAGAGUAAAAGUGAUGGAUAUACUGGUAAUCCCAGAUAUUUGAGACAAGGUGUCUCGAGUAAAGGAAAUGUACUUUGUGCAACAGGUACAAAAUUAACACUUUAUGAAGUGUGAAAUUAAUGACUGUGUUUAUGUGAACAGAGGGGACAUAGAAUUGUGAAUCGUCCCUAGAAUCAGUUGUACCCAACAGUUUUCUAUGACAUCGUAGUAUCGAUUCAGCAGGUUUAUGGACUUAGUAGUUUGGUCGGAUUGACCGUGGGUACAGAGAGAUUUGAUGAGUUAUAUGUUCAGCCGUACAGGCCACGAGAGGUGGAUCUGGCUGACGCAUGAGAAAUUGGUGAGUUAUAGGCUCGGCCGUACCGACCACGCGGAGUGGAUCCGGCCGACGUAUUAUUGAGAUAAGAGUUGAAUCAGCCGUAUUGGUCAUUCUAGUUGACUCCGGCUGAUAUAUAUAUAUUUUUAUUAUUAUGAUUGAUAUUGCCUAGAAAGUAGUAAAUAAACGCGGUUGAGACGAGUGUAUGUAUUUUGCAUUGAGUGACAAAAUAGUAUUAUUAUAUCUUCGAGAGUUGUUGCUUACUUAUCGAGACAACGAUGAUUUAUCAGUAUUGCGGGCUGCAGACCGUAAUAUUAAUAACUCAUUCGUGGAUUCGUUAAGCAAGCAACCCGGUAGAUUAUUUUAUGUUAGUAUUGUACUUAUUCAGAAUGCUUAGUAGUAAUAGAGUAUGAAUUGUGUCGGUUAAAUUAUUUCCAUUAGAUUGGUUGGUUAUAAUUGUGACUAGAUGGAUUGUUACGGGAAACCAGUCAUUUUCCAUCGAUCUGGAUGAUCAGAGGUUACCUUAAUGAGUGGGCAUGCAAAGUGAAGUGAGUUCAGCCAUUAUUUAUGCUGUGAAAGCAAAGAGAUUGUUUUGAAAGGCUGCCCAAAAAUACUUAGCUCAUGUGGUGCUAAAUGAUAUUGUUUGGAGUAGUGUGAAUAAUGUCGAAAGGGUUAGACUUUUCUUGAUGUCUUCCCUGAAAGUAUAUCUGGAUUGUCUUCAGGCAGAGAUAUGAGGUUCAUUAUUGAAUUGUUGCCAGGUAUAAAUUUAUGUUAAAGAUUGGUUCAUGAUGAGUUAAGGGAAUUGGAAAUUCAGUUGAGAGAAUUGGUUGAUAAAAGUUUUAUUCAACCUAGUACAACACUGUUGAGGAGCCCCAAUUUGUUGGUGAGGAAGAAAAUGGAUUUUGAGACUGUUCAUUGAUUAUAGACAAUGGAGUCGGGUAACGAUUGAGAACCGUUAUCCAUGGUGAUGUACUGAUGUUUAUUUAACCAGCUCAGAAGUAAUUGCGAAGAUUCAAAGAUUGAAUUGAGAUCUGGUUACUACCAAUUGAAUAUUAUAAGUGACGUUGAUCAUAAGAUGGUUUUCUGGACUUGUUAUGGUCCUUAUGAAGUUUGGUGUUGCUAUGUGGAUACUCAUGCUGUUUUAUGAGUUGAUGGAUGAAGUAUUCCAAUAAUGCCUUGAUAAAUUGAUAUCAUUUUCAUUGAAGAUAUUCUGGCAUAUUCUGAGCCAGAGCAGAGCAUGUAAACGUAUUAAGUCGAUGAAGCAAAGAUUGAGAGAACGUUGGUUGUAUGCUAAGUUUAGCAAAUGCGAAUGUUGGAUGAAUCAAGUGGCAUUCUGAGAUUGGUUAUAUCUGCUUAAGGUAUUCAAAUGAAUUCUUAAAAGGUAGCAGAAAUUGAGAAUUUGGAACAACCACGAGUCGUAAUUGAGAUUUGGAAUUUCUUAACUUACCAGGCUAUCUUGGAUGGUUGUGAAAGAUUUUUCAGUCAUUGCUUUGUCAUUGACGAGACUGUUGAGAAAAGAGGUUAUGUAUGAGUGGGAAGGAAAUUGUGAGCAAAGGAUUCAACAACUGAAGUAUUUCCUCACUCAUGCACGUAUUUUGGUAUUCCCAGAGAAUAGUGGUAAUCAUAAAUUUUAGUGAUGUUUCUUGAAUGGUAUUGGAGGCAUGUUGAUGCAAAUGUUAGGGUGAUUGCAUACGUUUCACGAUAAAUGGAACCUCAUGAGAUGAAUUACCCUACGGGUGACUUGGAAGUCAUGAUUACCAUUCUUGCUGUGAAGUUAUGAAGGCAUUAUAUUUUAGUGAGAAUGCAAGAUUUUUACGAAUCCAAAAAGUCUUCAAUAUCCAUUAAUUGGAAGGAUUUUGAUAUGAGGCAGCGAAGGUGAAUUGUAUUGCUUAAUGAACAUGAUUGUACGAUCAGGGUGAUCGUAAAGUUUGUUCUAGCUGAUACACUUGGUGAAAAGAUUGCAGUAAGAUUAAUGUCUGGCACGUUGCCAAGAGUAUCAUCUUGUGGAUUGAAAACCAACGGAAGAAAAAUUAAGAAUGGAAGAUCGAGAAUAAGUUAUACUUGUUAAUUUUCAAGUUAGGCCUGUUUGGUAAGGUCGUACUCGAGACUCAAAUGGUUAACGAAGAAAUUUAAGAAUUAACCAAGGCAGAGAAAGAAAGGAAAAAGAAUGAGUACAUGAUUCGUGAAUCAAAUGGUAUGUGGAUACAAGAAAACAAAAAGUAUGUGCCUAAUGCUAAGGAUUUAAAGUAAGUAAUUUUGGACGAAGUACACUGUUCAGCUUCUGCAAUAUUCCGAAAGUAAUAAGGUUUAUCAUACCAUUCGACAGUUUUAUUUGGUCAGCAGAUUGAGGCAAAAAGAGAUAAACCUUUGGAUUGAGAUAACUAUUUUCUGUUUCGCAGCGGAAAUGGAAAAAGAUUACUUUGGAUUAUGUGUACAAGCUUCCUUGUACACAAGAUGGUUAUGGUCGAAUUUAAAGUAAGAGUUGGUUAACGUAACAAGUUAGUACAUUUACUCCAGUGUUGAGUAACAACCUUUCCCAGAUAGUGUAACAGCACUUAAUUGUUUUAUGGAUAGGAGAAUUGGUUUACGGAACUGCUGAGUUUCUUAAGUAUGUUGGUUAUGCAGUUUCCGAAAUAACGCCAUAAGGUCCAUGAAAUGUGUCAUGUGUGUCGAUUUUUGUGGAUUUGUGAAUGGAAUGCUUCUGAAUAGAGAAAGAUUCGAUCAAGAAAGAGUUUUAGUAGACCCUGAGACUAUGGAUGAGUCUCCUCAAAGUAUUCAGGUGAUUAAGUUAACCUGAAGUAACCAGGAAUGGCAAAAGAGAUCAACAGAUGGAUAUGCCACUAAUCGAGUGUGUAAGGUAAAUGGUUUGAUAUUUUUGGAAUUUCACCAUGAACAGAAAUAGUAAGAUUCAGAAAGGAAGAUAAGAUAAGACUUAAACACAACGGUCCGUUUUGAUCACUAAGGGAAUCGACGAAGUUGCAUACAAGUUUGUGAUGCCUUCAGAAUUGGCUAAGGCACAUAAUGUAUUUUGGGUUCGAUACGUUGUCACUAGGUGGCAGAUUCGUCACAUGAGAUUCUGGUGCAACUAUUGAGAAUUAAAUUGGAUUCGACUUGAUAAGGAACCAAGGACGACUUUGGAUUGGAAAAAGAAGGUCCUGAAAAGUAAGACAGAGUAAGUGGUAAAAGCUUUGUGAAGGAAAUCAUUCAGUAGAAAAUUAUGUUGGAGAAAGAGAAUCGGAUGAGAGAGAUUUACCCGAAGCGAUUGUUGGAGUAUGGUUGAUUUAGUUGGUUGCUGGAAUUUCGGGGACGAAAUUCUAUAAGGAGGGGAGAUUGUCACACAGCCCGUUCCAAAAUAUUACAUUCGUGGCUGUGAAUGGACGAAAUUGCCCUUAAGAAAUACUAAGUAUGUGAAGCUCAAGUUGUUAAUUAUCUAGGUUCCUAAGUUUUGAAAAUAAAAUGGAAUUUAUUAAGGAUGGAACUUAGAUUUUUAGGUUAAAAUUUUGUGGUUUGGAGUUGGGGAUUGGAAAAGGACCACGAGGGAUCCCCACAUCCCUCAAUCCUCUCCCUAUUUUCUGCAUACUGUCUCUCUCUCUUCCCUCACGACUCUCUCACUCUCUCUGUCACUUUUCUUCUCCGUUCGAACAAACCAACCACAAAACAACCCUAAACUUCUACCAACGACGGAGUUAAGACCACCAUCAAACUCCUGGAACCUCCACGAUCACGAUGGUAUCCAUUUCAGGUAAGUUUUGCUUCGGAAAAACCCUAGUUUCAAAGUUCCCGUGAAGAGCACUGUUCAUGAUCUUCGAAUUGACUUUGUUUUAGGUGAAACCAAGCUCACAGUGAGCUUAAGGAAGUCCCAAGGAAGCUCGGAGUGCUUCGUUGGCAUGGAUUGGACGUCGGGAUCACGAGUUGUAAGUUUGGCCGAUUUCUUGAAUUUUUGAAAAGUUUGAUCUCGUAGUUUUUAGGCCCUAAAACUAGUCCAACGUGAAAGUAGAUGUUUAGGGCUUCAAAUGGGUGUAAAAUUCGAGAAAUUUGGAUGAAAAACGAAGGAGAAUAGUGGAUUUGAAAUAUUCCCCAGUUUCCGGUGACCGGAGUCCGGCGAGGGACGACCGGAGAAGAAGAAGGAAUAAUCCGUUAUAUUUAACGGAAUAUUCCUAACGGCAGUAACGGAAAAAGGUUAAGUUUAACGGAAUAUUCCGGGAUUUUAACGGAAUAUUCCUGACGGCGUCAAUUGACACCGUCAGUGUGCUUGGCACGUGGCCGCGCGUGGGGGCGCGUAGGUCCGUGCCACGUCAGGCGCGUGGGGGCGCGUGAGACCUCCAAAAAUUAUUUUAAAAAUAUGGGGAUGAUCCUGAGGUUGUGUAGGUCACGUUGGUAUAUUCAUAUACCCAAUUUGAGCAAUAUAUGAGGAGUUAUUAACUAAGAUUUGGGUUAGGCGUUAAAUAACGUCAAAUUGGUUACUCUUGUAUAGGUGAGGUUUAUGCGGGCAUCGGGCAUGGCCAAGGGAUGCUCAGGGACUUACGAGACGUCGAUGUAUUCUGUGAGUGGGCAGUUUUGUUUUCCGUAUACAUAUAUACUUGCCGUUUUCCUAGAAAUUGAAAAUGCAUGAAAUUAUGAUUUAAAUGAAAAUGUAUAAAAGUAUAUGAGAUAUAUUAGUUGAAAUGCCAUGCAUAGAAGUAUGCGAAAAGUAUAUAGAAUUAUAUGAAAAACGUGAAUCGAAUUGCCAUGCAUGAAAGGAUAUGAAUUGAUAUAUGAUGCAUAUGUAUGAAUUGGUGCAGCGGACGCACAGGUGAGUAUCAGGUGAGUAUUUAAAUACUGUUAUGAUGAUGUUGAUGUAUAUUGAGCUCAAAUCCUGCACCAUGGUUUAGUGCUUAUAGUAUUCACCGCAUCGCACGCUCGCCUUGGAUCCAAGUAGAUGCUGGUCGCACAGUCCACGCGGAGUGGGUGCGACGGGCCAGUCGAAGAGUGUUAGUGAGAUUUCGACUGGUGGGUGACCUUAGAUUAUGUGCACAAAUGAUUGAUGAGAAAGCACUAGAGCGUAACUUGUGCGCAGAAGGCCGGACAGG